CCUACGGGAGGCAGCAGUGGGGAAUAUUGGACAAUGGGGGCAACCCUGAUCCAGCGACGCCGCGUGUGUGAAGAAGGCCUGCGGGUUGUAAAGCACUUUUAGUGGGGAAGAAGGCCCUCGACCUAAUACGUCGGAGGAUUGACUUAACCCACAGAAAAAGCACCGGCUAACUCUGUGCCAGCAGCCGCGGUAAUACAGAGGGUGCUAGCGUUAAUCGGAAUUACUGGGCGUAAAGCGUGCGUAGGCGGUUUCGUAAGUCGGAUGUGAAAGCCCCCGGGCUCAACCUGGGGAAUUGCAUUCGAGACUGCGGAGCUCGAGUGCGGAAGAGGGAAGUGGAAUUUCCGGUGUAGCGGUGAAAUGCGUAGAUAUCGGAAGGAACAUCAGUGGCGAAAGCGACUUCCUGGUCCAGCACUGACGCUCAGGCACGAAAGCGUGGGGAGCAAACAGGAUUAGAUACCCUGGUAGUCCACGCCAUAAACGAUGAGAACUAGAUGUUGAGAGGGUAAGCCUCCCAGUGUCGAAGCUAACGCGAUAAGUUCUCCGCCUGGGGAGUACGGCCGCAAGGUUGAAACUUAAAGGAAUUGACGG
rnacentral:rRNA from 1 species